GUCACAUCUCAGUGGAGUCAGCUGUCUUAACUGUCCGUGGCUUGUGUACUGCUGCAAACACAUACGAGCUUCAUCACUGUGUCUGUCACGCCACUCUGUUCCCCUUUUGGGCUUGAACUGAUGAUGACAGGUGUCAGCCCACCCCUUCUGCUGCGUCCCACAAUAUUGCAGCCCAUGACGUCAUGUGUGUUUCAGACAGACUGCAAUGUCACCUUGGAGAGGUCAUUGGUGGAAUAGUGCUGUUUUGGGAAAGGGACGGGAUAACAGAUUUGACCAACCAACACGUCUGGAUGUGAUUAAUUUAGGAAGAGUGGGUAACCUGGAGCUUUUUGGCUGAAUUUGGAGAGCAUUUCUUAGUGUGACAUCUGUGCUGAUCAUUUAAAGUGCAGUGCCUGUGGUCUCUCUGUCUCUGUCUCUGACUCUCGGUCUCUGCUCCUGCUGUGGGUUGUGAGCAUGACGCAGUCCAAGCCUCAGCUCGGCACACAUGGUGCAGAGGACUCUGGGACUGUAACCGGUUUAGUCGUGAACAGAAUUACAAAUGCUGCCAGCGGCACCCUGACAGCCCAUCAGUUCCAUGCAGGGCCGAGCUCAGCACGUUGGCCACCUCACAGUCCUCUCAUUGCACAUCUGAUGCUUUAAUUAGCAUAACUUACAAUGCUCUUUGAUAUUCCAAACCAAGAUGCUUUGGUUUAUAAGACAACCUCAGGUAUAAUCUUUGAGGAAUGCCUGAUGUAAGGAUAAUUCGUGGUAUUUGGGCAGUUAAAAUGCAACCGUUUUCAGUGAUGAACUGAUUUCAUCAUCCUUGCAAGAAUCUCUUUUAAG